rnacentral:rRNA from 1 species
CGGCAAACGGGUGAGUAAUACGUAUCUAACCUACCCUUUAGAGAGGAACAACUGAUCGAAAGAUUAGCUAAUACCUCAUAGGAAAAUGAAUCGCAUGAUUUAUUUUUAAAGGUCCGUCUGGACCACUUUAGGAUGGGGGUGCGGCUUAUCAGAUAGUUGGUGAGGUAACGGCCCACCAAGUCAAUGACGAGUAGCUAUGCUGAGAGGUAGAAUAGCCACAAUGGGACUGAGACACGGCCCAU